ACUCCCGAGGGGACGGUCUCCCGCCCGCCCUCACACACAGCUAGCUCUUCAGGCCAGGCCCCCAGGGUUUCGUCCACCUCUCACCUUUGACGACGCGAAUGAAGAAUGAGGAGGUGCUGCGAUCGAACGACUGCGAGGAAACACACCCGCUCUCAUGGCAUUCCCAGUAAACUGAGAAGACGUGAUUAAACCUCAGGAUCUCCUACUAAUAGAGAAAUGUAUAACGAUUUAGCUACCAGAUCUGAAUACUGAAGGGUUGGUAGGGGACCAGAGAAUAGAGGAAGCAUUGUAGGUUCUAGAGUGGAGAAGGGACCAUCCAAAAUGGAGUUUGAAAGAGAAUUCUGGCCUUUGUGUUUAGAGUCUGGAAUUGUCAAGAGUCUGAAAGCACAGAAUAAGACUGCAGCUAGAGCAAUUUAGGCGCCAUAGUUUGUCAAAACAGGUAAGGGGAAUAAAGGGGAUGACACCAAGAGAUGUGCAAAGAAUCUGAAGAAUUCACCUGAAAAGGAUACAACCUCCUCCUGGAAGGCAGAGGAGUAAAUAGGGAAUUGGAAAUUAAUUCCUUAUUUCUGCACAUGCACAGAAUCUGGGCCCAGGUGACUUAUGGAACCUUUAUAGAGACCACGGUGACUGACACUCAUGGGAAAGGGGGUAGAGGGGCAAGAACUGACUGUUCAUCAAAAAUUAUUAGAUGAGUGUGUCCACGACACCAGGAGAUAUGUUGAAUCAUGGACAGGGACCAGCAUAUCCACUAAGCUCUAUAUAUCUUGAUGGUGCAGGAUCCAAGUGGGAUGGAACAACCAAUUCCUGCCCAUCCUCCUGCUCAAUAAUACAUGUGCUCAGAAUCUGUUCAUAAUGCAUGGUGGACUCUAGCCCUGAUCUGCUCUCUUCUGGGAGCAUCUGAUAGAACAAACAGAAACCCCUCUCCCACUGUUCUCCUGUGUCCAGAGUGGGAGGCAUAACUGCUUUGCCUCCAGUCAUCAUCUGGGGGCAUAUCUACUCUUCGAGGACCAGGGGUUCGGGACCCUGGAACAGGAUCUGAAUUCCAAGCUGACCUCAGGGGUACAUGAAGACUGCUAGAUGAGACGGGAUCUCACUGUGUUGCCCAGGCUGGUCUCGAACUGCUGGACUCAAGUCAUCCUCCCAUCUUGGCCUCCCAAAGUGCUGGAAUUACAGGUGUGAGACGCUGUGCCUUGCUUUUUUUUUGUUUCUCCAACUUUUCUUAAAAUGUUACCUUCACUUCAGUUAAGCUGCCUUUGUUUGAUCUCUGAGAUCUAAUGUGGAAUGCCUUUUCUUAUACAUUUAUUCAACUUUGGCACUCUUGGUAUCUUGGGCUGAUAAUUCUUUGUUGGGGUUGGGGAGAGACUGCCCUGUGCAUUGUGUGAUUUAUUAAUGAAAAAUACUUUGCAAAAACAGUAUGUUUGG
rnacentral:lncRNA from 10 species